rnacentral:rRNA from 1 species
UACAGAGGGGGCAAGCGUUGUUCGGAAUUACUGGGCGUAAGGGGCGCGUAGGCGGCCCGCUAAGUCGAACGUGAAAUCCCCAGGCUCAACCUGGGAACUGCGUCCGAUACUGGCAGGCUUGAAUCCGGGAGAGGGAUGUGGAAUUCCAGGUGUAGCGGUGAAAUGCGUAGAUAUCUGGAGGAACACCGGUGGCGAAGGCGGCAUCCUGGACCGGUAUUGACGCUGAGGCGCGAAAGCUAGGGGAGCAAACGGG